GCUGCGGAAUAAUCAGUAGUAAUCGGUGCCUGUUUACCAUGAGUUGUAAGCGACCCUCAGUAGUAGCCUACAGUUGCGCGCGUUUUCUGCGAACACGCGAAGAUAGACCGUUUAAAAGCGGCGGUUGGUAACUUAAGUGAGGUGAACUGAACUGCGGCGAGUAUGACACAACGCAGUAUAGAGAGCACUAAAGAGGUCAGAGGGACAGAAAUGAAAAGAUCUCAAGCCAAAAUACGUGAGGUUGAAAAUGCACCAUUUUCGGAUACGUCUGCAGCAAAAAAGAUAAAGGCACAGCAUUUCAGAUCAGCAGCUGGAGACAUGCCUUAUGGGUUUGAAGUAGCAUUAGCA